UACGUAGGGGGCUAGCGUUGUCCGGAAUCAUUGGGCGUAAAGCGCGCGUAGGCGGCCAGAUAAGUCCGGUGUGAAGGUCACAGGCUCAACCUGUGAAUGCCGCUGGAAACUGUCUGGCUAGAGUCCGGAAGGGGCGAGUGGAAUUCCUGGUGUAGCGGUGAAAUGCGCAGAUAUCAGGAGGAACACCAAUGGCGAAGGCAGCUCGCUGGGACGUGACUGACGCUGAGACGCGAAAGCGUGGGGAGCAAACAGG
rnacentral:rRNA from 1 species